UACGUAGGGUGCAAGCGUUGUCCGGAAUUAUUGGGCGUAAAGAGCUCGUAGGCGGUUUGUCGCGUCUGCUGUGAAAAUCCAGGGCUUAACCCUGGACCUGCAGUGGGUACGGGCAGACUGGAGUGCGGUAGGGGAGAUCGGAAUUCCUGGUGUAGCGGUGAAAUGCGCAGAUAUCAGGAGGAACACCGAUGGCGAAGGCAGGUCUCUGGGCCACUACUGACGCUGAGAAGCGAAAGCGUGGGGAGCAAACAGG
rnacentral:rRNA from 1 species